rnacentral:rRNA from 1 species
UACGUAGGGGGCUAGCGUUGUCCGGAUUUAUUGGGCGUAAAGAGCGUGUAGGCGGCCACGCAGGUCCGUUGUGAAAACUGGAGGCUCAACCUUCAGACGUCGACGGAAACCGUGUGGCUAGAGUCCGGAAGAGGAGAGUGGAAUUCCUGGUGUAGCGGUGAAAUGCGCAGAUAUCAGGAAGAACACCAAUGGCGAAGGCAGCUCUCUGGGACGGUACUGACGCUGAGACGCGAAAGCGUGGGGAGCGAACAGG